rnacentral:rRNA from 1 species
UACGUAGGUGGCAAGCGUUGUCCGGAAUUAUUGGGCGUAAAGGGCGUGUAGGUGGAUUCUUAAGUCGUGUGUCUAAGUGCGAAGCUCAACUUCGUAUAGGCGCAGGAAACUGGGAAUCUUGAGUGCAGGAGAGGAAAGUGGCAUUCCCAGUGUAGCGGUGAAAUGCGUAGAUAUUGGGAGGAACACCAGUGGCGAAGGCGGCUUUCUGGACUGUGUCUGACACUGAGGCGCGAAAGCUAGGGGAGCGAACGGG